rnacentral:rRNA from 1 species
GAUGAACGCUGGCGGCGUGCCUAAUACAUGCAAGUCGAGCGAACAGACGAGGAGCUUGCUCCUCUGACGUUAGCGGCGGACGGGUGAGUAACACGUGGAUAACCUACCUAUAAGACUGGGAUAACUUCGGGAAACCGGAGCUAAUACCGGAUAAUAUAUUGAACCGCAUGGUUCAAUAGUGAAAGACGGUUUUGCUGUCACUUAUAGAUGGAUCCGCGCCGCAUUAGCUAGUUGGUAAGGUAACGGCUUACCAAGGCGACGAUGCGUAGCCGACCUGAGAGGGUGAUCGGCCACACUGGAACGGAGACACGGUCCAGACGCCUACGGGAGGCAGCAGUAGGGAAUCGUCCGCAAUGGGCGAAAGCCUGACGGAGCAACGCCGCGUGAGUGAUGAAGGUCUUCGGAUCGUAAAACUCUGUUAUUAGGGAAGAACAAAUGUGUAAGUAACUAUGCACGUCUUGACGGUACCUAAUCAGAAAGCCACGGCUAACUACGUG